rnacentral:rRNA from 1 species
UACGUAGGGUGCAAGCGUUGUCCGGAAUUAUUGGGCGUAAAGAGCUCGUAGGCGGUUUGUCGCGUCUGCUGUGAAAACCCGAGGCUCAACCUCGGGCUUGCAGUGGGUACGGGCAGGCUAGAGUGCGGUAGGGGAGAAUGGAACUCCUGGUGUAGCGGUGGAAUGCGCAGAUAUCAGGAAGAACACCGAUGGCGAAGGCAGUUCUCUGGGCCGUAACUGACGCUGAGGAGCGAAAAGCGUGGGGAGCGAACAGG